AGAGUUUGAUCAUGGCUCAGAUUGAACGCUGGCGGCAGGCUUAACACAUGCAAGUCGAGCGGGGUGAGGUGCUUCGGUACUGAUCCUAGCGGCGGACGGGUGAGUAAUGCUUAGGAAUCUGCCAUUUAGUGGGGGACAACAUUCCGAAAGGGAUGCUAAUACCGCAUACGUCCUACGGGAGAAAGCAGGGGAUCUUCGGACCUUGCGCUAAAUGAUGAGCCUAAGUCGGAUUAGCUAGUUGGUGGGGUAAAGGCCUACCAAGGCGACGAUCUGUAGCGGGUCUGAGAGGAUGAUCCGCCACACUGGGACUGAGACACGGCCCAGACUCCUACGGGAGGCAGCAGUGGGGAAUAUUGGACAAUGGGCGGAAGCCUGAUCCAGCCAUGCCGCGUGUGUGAAGAAGGCCUUUUGGUUGUAAAGCACUUUAAGCGAGGAGGAGGCUACCUGGAUUAAUACUCUAGGAUAGUGGACGUUACUCGCAGAAUAAGCACCGGCUAACUCUGUGCCAGCAGCCGCGGUAAUACAGAGGGUGCGAGCGUUAAUCGGAUUUACUGGGCGUAAAGCGUGCGUAGGCGGCUGAUUAAGUCGGAUGUGAAAUCCCUGAGCUUAACUUAGGAAUUGCAUUCGAUACUGGUCAGCUAGAGUAUGGGAGAGGAUGGUAGAAUUCCAGGUGUAGCGGUGAAAUGCGUAGAGAUCUGGAGGAAUACCGAUGGCGAAGGCAGCCAUCGGCCUAAUACGACGCUCAGGUACGAAAGCAGGGAGCAU
rnacentral:rRNA from 1 species